AACGUAGGACGCGAGCGUUAUCCGGAAUCACUGGGCGUAAAGGGUGCGUAGGCGGGUCUUUAAGUCAGGGGUGAAAUCCUGGAGCUCAACUCCAGAACUGCCUUUGAUACUGAAGAUCUUGAGUUCGGGAGAGGUGAGUGGAACUGCGAGUGUAGAGGUGAAAUUCGUAGAUAUUCGCAAGAACACCAGUGGCGAAGGCGGCUCACUGGCCCAUUACUGACGCUGAGGCACGAAAGCGUGGGGAGCAAACAGG
rnacentral:rRNA from 1 species